rnacentral:rRNA from 1 species
AAGUGGGUGGUAAACUCCAUCUAAGGCUAAAUAUGACCACGAGACCGAUAGCGAACAAGUACCGUGAGGGAAAGUUGAAAAGCACUUUGAAGAGAGAGUUCAAGAGUACGUGAAACCGUUUAGGGGUAAACCUGAGAAACCCGAAAGGUCGAAGGGAGAAAUUCAUUCGCGUUUCGUCGCAGGCGUUUGGCGGUUAUGUGACGGGAAUUAAUUUUUCCGCGCCUUCCGUUUCACGAUCCUGCGGCGAACGCGUGCACUUUUCUUCCGGUAGGACGUCGCAAUCCGUUGGGUGUCGGUCUACGGCAGGCGGUGGAGCCCGUUUGUGUUUUUUUUAAGACACGAGUGGACCCGUCUGUUUCCGGCCGGCUCGCUCGACGGUAUACGAAUGGUUGAAGGCCGCUCCUUGUGAGCGUUCGACUCGUGGCAAGCGCGCUAGAUAUGUUGGAAAUCGGACCUCGUGCCGAUUCUGACUACUGGUGACUGUUGGCCGCGAAGUUCUCGAACAGACCUUUGGAUCGAUUCGCGACGCUAUAGCUUUGGGUAAUUUCAGGACCCGUCUUGAAACACGGACCAAGGAGUCUAGCAUGUACGCAAGUCAUUGGGAUUAAAACUAAACCUAAAGGCGUAAUGAAAGUGAAGGUCUUCCUUGCGAGGACCGAGGGAAGACGAGUGGAUUUCACCGUUAAAAGUGGCCACUCUGCACUCCCGGGGCGUCUCGUUCUCAUCGCGAGAAGAGGCGCACCAAGAGCGUACACGCUGGGACCCGAAAGAUGGUGAACUAUGC